UGGUGUAAUAAAACAAAAACGGUGCAUGCCGCAGCAAGUUAGUCUGCUGAACUUUGAUAGCUUGCAAACGACAUUACCUUACCAAAUUUAGAAACAAUGCUCGGCACUGUAAUAAUGUCUUAAAUUUAGGUUGUAUUUGAUACUUUAUUAGAACGUGUUCAGCGGGUGAAGAUGCUGCUGUGUGACACAAAGGGAAGACUGCUUUUGUAACAGUUUAGUUAGGCCAUUUUUUUUUUGCCUUGCUACGUGAUGGGGACUGUUUUAGUGUGCUCACGUUUCAAGUGCGUUCAUGCUGAAGACCUUUACAUUCAUGUGUGUUUUGUUGUUCCCUAGUUAGCAACACUGGUAUUGGAAAGGCUACUGCUUUGGAUUUGGCUAAGAGAGGUGCCAGGGUCAUCCCUGUCUGCCGCAGCAAACAGAACGCAGAGGCUGCUGUCUAUGAUAUCAGAAGGGUUAGAGGAGCCUUAUAGAUAAAAUAAAUAAUGGAGCCGGGGGAAUGAGGUGGUGUUCAUGCAGCUGCAUCUGGGGAGUCUGAAGUCUGUUUGCUCCUUUGUUGAAACCUUCCUAAAGACUGAACCCAGAUUGGGCCUGCUCAUCAACAAUGCAGGUGUGGCAGAGAGGGAAUGUAAACAUUAAUUACCAAUACAUAAAACAUACUUUCUUUAUUAAAUUAACCCUAAUGAAUGAUGGAUAAAAUAAUUCUAAUUUGAAGACAAAUACUUGGCCAUUAUGUGUUGCCUAACUCCGUCUAAUCUCACUGUGUCACCUUGUUUGCCAAGUCACUUUUACCCCUACCUACAUGAACAUACUGUAUUACCUCAACUCCCUCUUUCUUUCUUUUUAGCAAAUAUUUGUCUUUUUAGCUCUACAUUGUUGGUUAUGGGCUCGUAAGUAUUUCACGGUAAACUCUACACCUCUUGUAUUUGAUGUAUGUGACCAAUAAGAUCAGAUUUGAUUUAGGAAUGCUGGGGCCUGGCCAUACUGAGGAUGGGUUUGGCUUGGCGUUCAGGGUUAACCACCUAGGUGACUUCCUGUUGACCUGCUUGCUGCUGGAUCGGCUGAAGCAGUGUCAACGUGUCGGCUCACCUAUACCGGCUCGGCUCUGUGGACUUUGUCCUCCUGGGUACCCACAAGGAUCUGGUGCCAGGCCAGUCUACCUGGCUUAACUUCAGGGCCUACUGCCACAGCAAGCUGUGCAAUGUGGUCUUCAACAGGGUGCUGGGUAACCGCCUGGAUGGGACAAGCGUCACCACUUACAGUCUCCACCUAGGUCAGUAGCCCUCCACCUACAGCCUCCACCCAGGUCAGUAGCCCUCCACCUACAGCCUCCACCCAGGUCAGUAGCCCUCCACCUACAGCCUCCACCCAGGUCAGUAGCCCUCCACCUACAGCCUCCACCCAGGUCAGUAGCCCUCCACCUACAGCCUCCACCCAGGUCAGUAGCCCUCCACCUACAGCCUCCACCCAGGUCAGUAGCCCUCCACCUACAGCCUCCACCCAGGUCAGUAGCCCUCCACCUACAGCCUCCACCCAGGUCAGUAGCUCUCUACCUACAGCCUCCACCCAGGUCAGUAGCCCUCCACCUACAGCCUCCACCCAGGUCAGUAGCUCUCCACCUACAGCCUCCACCCAGGUCAGUAGCCCUCCACCUACAGCCUCCACCCAGGUCAGUAGCUCUCUACCUACAGCCUCCACCCAGGUCAGUAGCCCUCCACCUACAGCCUCCACCCAGGUCAGUAGCCCUCCACCCAGGUCAGUAGCCCUCCACCUACAGCCUCCACCCAGGUCAGUAGCCCUCCACCUACAGCCUCCACCCAGGUCAGUAGCCCUCCACCUACAGCCUCCACCCAGGUCAGUAGCUCUCUACCUACAGCCUCCACCCAGGUCAGUAGCUCUCUACCUACAGCCUCCACCCAGGUCAGUAGCUCUCCACCUACAACCUCCACCCAGGUCAGUAGCCCUCCACCUACAGCCUCCACCCAGGUCAGUAGCCCUCCACCCAGGUCAGUAGCCCUCCACCCAGGUCAGUAGCCCUCCACCCAGGUCAGUAGCCCUCCACCCAGGUCAGUAGCCCUCCACCUACAGCCAGGUCAGUAGCCCUCCACCCAGGUCAGUAGCCCUCCACCCAGGUCAGUAGCCCUCCACCCAGGUCAGUAGCCCUCCACCCAGGUCAGUAGCCCUCCACCUACAGCCAGGUCAGUAGCCCUCCACCCAGGUCAGUAGCCCUCCACCUACAGCCAGGUCAGUAGCCCUCCACCCAGGUCAGUAGCCCUCCACCUACAGCCAGGUCAGUAGCCCUCCACCCAGGUCAGUAGCCCUCCACCUACAGCCAGGUCAGUAGCCCUCCACCCAGGUCAGUAGCCCUCCACCUACAGCCUCCACCCAGGUCAGUAUCUCCAGCUUGGAGAAACAAUGGCAGAAGCUCUUUCUAGAGCCCAUCACCAAUCUCUUCAUGGAUACUGAGAGGGGAGCUCAGACCACCCUGCACUAUGGGCUUUAAGAGCGUAUCGAGCUGCUGAGUGGACGCUACUUCUCUUCCUGUGCACUACAGGACGUCGGUGCCAAGGGGCGGGACGAUGCGGUGGCCAGGAAGCUGUGGGAGGUGAUUGAGAGGCUAUCCGACCUGUCCUGAGAGACUGAUUCUAGCCACGGCAAAGAUUUUGGAAUAUACUGACAAGAUAUUGGACACUCCUCUCUAAUGAUGGGAAUCAAUGUCUGUGAAGGCAAACGCAGGCGGGAGGAGGUGGGAGCAGGCUUCUCACUCUCUCACUCACAUCAUGCCUAGACUAAUGCCUUGUUAAGGAUGGCUUUUAAAUGUAUGAUAUUUCCUUGUAUAUUGGAAUUAAUUCCUUUUACAUUGUUAUUAAAUAUUUGCGUUUAUAUUAGUUAUGACCAUUUCUUGAUCUUAGUCAGCAAUAACUUCUACUUGCUGGCACAUUGCUAUUUAUCUAUAUGGAGUCAGUUAAUAGACUGUCAAUAAACAAAUUACUACAAAGUACGAGGCCAGGUGAGUAAUAUGACGUCCUCCUACACAACUGCUUUAUAUUUUAUUUUUGCAUGGAUGGCAGGAAGGGAGGAGUCAUCGCUCUCGCUUCACCUAUUCCUCUAUGGCCAUGGUCCUAGUGGCCUUUAAUGACACAUGAAGAAAGGGCUGUAGUGAAAUCUGUUUAUAUUUUGUUUUAAUGAGAGUAAUUUAUACUGGUUUUGUGGCGCAAUGCCAUGGAAAGGGAUUGAUGACUGAACUUUCCCACAGUUAUCAGUCCAGCCAUUCAUUACAUUCACUAGGACAGUUUAGCUACACUUAAAUACUCACCAAGGAACUGCAGUUAUGGUAUGUCAUGACACCUUGUGUUCAGCACAGGGUAAACAAAAGAUGGGACCCAACCCAAGUAGGGCUCCUAAGGAUAGAUGUUCUUCAGAACUUACUAAUAGUAUAAUAAACAAACAAGGUUUAUGUAUAGAUUUCUGUUGAAAUGCACGUGGUAAAACAUUUACGGGCUAUUUAGUUUUCAAUUUUUCAUUGUGGUCAAUGCGAAGAUAUAUUAAACAUUUCAAUUCAGCACUGAUAAACAUAAAAAAAUUCUACCAACCAUUUUGUUGAAUGGCUCACAAAGUUCUGUUUUUGCUUCUGAAUGAAGUUAUGCUACCGGUAAAUGGAUGUGUUGUACAAUGUACAGGUAGUUUUGUUCAUACCCCUGUGUGGCUGUCAUGUUUUCCUUGUACACCAGGGGGCAGUAGCGCAUCACCGGUCAUGCCUUGUAACAUGAGUUUGCCUCGUAAAAGGCAUGAACUGUAAUACACAAAUGUUAUUAAAUACUUGCAUUUA